rnacentral:rRNA from 1 species
UGCAGAUAUUCGUGAAUCAUCGAAUCUUUGAACGCACAUUGCGCCCUCUGGUAUUCCGGAGGGCAUGCCUGUUUGAGCGUCGUUUC